AUCAUUUUGGAGGGUCAUAGAAAAAUUAUUACUGGUGAGGGGAGUGUCAAGUCUUUUUAUCCCAAAGGUCCCAAAACUUGUCCGGUGGCCCCUUAAAUAAAUAACGAACAGUCCCUUAGAUGAAAUGAAACCUAAUUUAGGAGUAAAAUGUGUAGAAAUGAUGACUAAUGUAGACUAUAGCUGAGAGGAUGUAAUAGUUGUAAGUUGAUGAAUGAUAUAUUUAAAUAUGUGAUAUAUAAAUGUUCUUUUGUUUUCUUUAUUGGAAGCUGUGGAUGUUUAAAGGUUGAACUCUGAUGAAAUCAACAUUUGAAAUCAGUUUAAAGAGAUUAGUCUCCAUCUGGUGGAGAGACUCACCAGCACAGAGGGGGAGGCUCACAAGUUUCUCAUGCUUCAUCUUUCUUUCUUCUGUUGAAGUUUUUGGCGUUUUUGUUCCUGUUUUGUGACGUUACUGUUGCUGUUUACAAGUUCUGGUUGUUUUUGAAUGUUGAAGUUUCAUUUUUUUAAACUUGUAGUCCCCUUUCUCAACGUUGUUGUGUCUUCUUUAAUGUUGUUGUUCCUGUGUCUCUGUUGUUGACAUGGAAGAUAGAUGUACAUGUUGUUGAUGACCUGAUCAAACAGCUGAAGUUGAUUUCCUUUCUCCAGCCGUCA